GUGGGACAAUCGUAUUGCUAAGAAACGAUGGUGUUUGUCUUCAUGCUAUAGUGCUAGAUUUCAUGUCAUUGGUGUGUUCUCCCAGGCAGAUGUGGUCAGCUGUCAAUUUGUACUUUUUUCCACCGUCGAAAUACUGAUAUUUAUGACAUAUUUCAUAUAAUCUUUCCUCGCUCCUUAUUCUAUUUGUUCCCUGUUUUUUUUUUCCUUUCCCAGGCUACAUGGCAUUGUGACUUGAGCUGGGCCAAAUCUGGGGGAGGAUUUGGUAAGCAAAUCAGCACUACAUGUUUUUCAGUCAGUCAAUAUGUUGCUUUCUAAAACAAAAAACAGUUCAUUAUUGCUAUGUUGCUAAAAUUUUGUAAAUUAUAAUGUCGACCUUCAUCUGCCACUGACUGUCUAAAUUCGCUACUGUUGGAGACCCUCAUGUCUAACUUAAAAGCUUGAGGUAUUAGCUGAAGGCUAAAGUUCUAUAUUCUUAACAGUUUGCCAUGGAACAUUUUAUCAUUUUUUUUUCUUUAAAUUCUUGGAAGAGGCAACAUUUGAAGUACUUUCCAGGCUGAAUAAGAAGCAGAAAGGCAGUUCAUGAGACUGUUAAUGACCAGCAUCAUGUUGUUCAUGAGGAUACUUCCUUGGAAUUUUGUUCAAGGGACCUCGAAGAGCUGUGUUGCCUUGAAGUUCAAUUCUAUCUAAGGUUAAUGAGCUGGUUAUGCUUCAAAAAAGUAUCGAACCACCGUUGAUGGUAUUGGAUCAGAUAGUAUAUCACCAUUUGAUUUACAAGAAAAUUGCAACAUAGAAGAAACUCUCUUUAUUUCCUGCAGUUACUAGCUCCAUGAAAUGAAUUGGUCAAGCAUGUAUCCAUGCUAUUAUCAGCUGGGUGUGAGAGAAAUUUGGACUUGUGCUUGCCCGUGUGCGGAGAGAAUUUGUUUUGAUUUGUCUAACAGUCAUCUAAAUCCUACUCAGGAUCUCAUGUAUUCUGGGUUCAUUGCUUGACAGACUGUUGACAUAUUCAAGUACUGCAUGAAAGACUUGAGGACUUUCAGCUGGGAUAAUAAAAUUGAACCGAUCGUGGCCAAUGGAUUCUUGCAAAGUCAUUUCUCAUGUAAAACUCCAAUACACAGAGAGCUUGAAGAAAUAUUCCCAAAAUUUUUCCACAACCAAACUCCAGAAAGAUCAAUCGCAAGAAAACGAUCAGCUUGGGGUCCCUCAAUGUUUUCCAACUGAACCAAAUAAGUUGUCUACUUCUCAUUUUCCAAGUGGAAACAGCAAUGAUAACUCGAUUAUGAGCAAGGGUGGACUAUUGAAUAGCUCUGAUAUGGUGCGUCACUGUAUAUUUCCAAAGUCUUGCAUUAGCUCAAAUGUGGGUAAACUGGAGCAGCCAUCCCUUUUAUACGAGAGAUGCGAAAGAAGUGCAUCUUCCACACCAUCUCAAGUUCCCAAGACUUUGAGUAUUCAUGCAGCGUGGGCAUUUCUCAGUCUCCAAUCCUGCGGAGGUAGCCAGCAUUGACUGGAGCAUGCAGUCCAAAUUUUGCUUGAGCAGUUAGCUCUAAGAUUGAUGAGAUUGUAUCUGGCUUGCAAAAAGGUGCCAAGAGCAAGAUGCUGCAACGGAUGGGAUGACUUUUGAUCACAAAACAUUAGUUGCUGUUGCUUCAGGAAUGCAUCAAGUGGUGUUGUGGAAAAUACCUGGGGCCGGGUUCAUGGUUGCCUCUAAUGCGGAUUCUCAUACUUGGUGACAAUCCUAGUUUCAUCAACUUUGUUACAGUCGUUAGUUUUCUGAGAUCCUGAAAAUGCGUUUCAUGGAUAUAGCAUUCUUAUAUGAAGUGGCAGCAUGAACUAUAUGGUUGGGAUAAUCGUAAGUUUUUGUUUUUGGGUACUUUUUGUUCCAUCUUUCUGGGUAAUGAUUCAAUAGAAGAUACAAAUAGAGCCUUAAAAGAGUUUCUUUCCUCAAGCCCGUUUGAUUAUAGUUACAGUUGGGAUAAUCGUAAGCUUGAUGAUGAAGAUUAUAUGCUGUAAUGUCGACAUGAACUAAUAGCUAUCCCAAAGUCUAAACCUUACCCAAGAAAUGAGAUGGUGCCAUUCUUUUAUCACAUUGUCAAGGUAUUUAUUUUUCCUUUCCUGUUUGCCGUAUUAGAUUUUAUCCAGGUUUGUCAAGAUAAGCACGGCACCCGUCCAUGAAUUACAUGCACAGAAAGCCAACGGCGAUCUGCAAUUGACUUCCAUGGCCUUUUACAAUUUCAGAUUUGUUGCAUGACUUGGCUGUGAACUCCUAACUCUUUCUAAUUUACAUAACCAUUGGCCAAUGUUCGACACGUUGAACUCUUACCUGAUAUUUCUGUACUUGUGACUAAUAAUAGACUGUUGGCUAGAUGGUCCAACCACUGUAGACAAGAUACACUCAUACAAGGUAACAAGGCUGAUGCUGAUGUUUUGGGUUUGAACGAAGUUUAGAACGAUGUUUUGGCCCUGUUAUGGGGCUGACAGGCUGAUGCUGUGGAAUGUCCCUCAUAUUUGACGUAUCGAUCUGUACUUUUUCUUCU